ensembl:snoRNA SNORA72 Small nucleolar RNA SNORA72
CUGUGAAUAUUCUCAUGUUUCUGAUUUUGUAAUAGUCAGGGCAGGCCAAACAUUCACUAUAUUAAGACCAUACUUGUGUCCCCGGACCUAGUUAUUUCCGUCAGUCUGGCUUUAUAAAUGCGGAUGAUAAAC